rnacentral:lncRNA from 11 species
ACUAGGGGGCAGAUCCUCCGCCGGAAGUCACACAACAUUGUGUGAUGCCCAGCAUGGAGCUCUAUCCUGAAGAUGGCAUGGAAAUGUCCUAGGACGCUGAUUUAGAUUCCACUUCCAGAGUCUCAGUUGAAAUAAUAAACCGGACUUUUGGGCCUCUCAGAAGGAUCUCUCUUGGUGUUA